AUGCGAGCCAAGCUCUGGUCGGUCCGAAUUGGGCGGCAGGAGGAAUCGGGGCGCGUCCGCGGGCGCCCAGAUCGGGGGUUCCAGCUGGCUCCCCCCGGCGCCAUGGCCGCCGACUCCAGCAUGGGGUUCCACCAGGGGAUCACCGCCGCCGCCUCGGUCUACAACCACCAUCACCACCACCACAACAACAUGCUCUCCUUUCAGUCGUCCAGCAGCGACAUCACCAUGGGGGGUGGCGGCGGCGCCGGGAUGGGGCUCGUCAGCAUGAGCGGCGGGCCGAGCAGCACCGCCGGCCUGUACCACUCUUCUCCAAACAACCACAGCAGCAACAACAACGGCGGUGUGUUCGGAAACGUGCCGGUGGUUCUCCAGUCGAGGAGCUCGCCGGGGGGCGUCGCGUCCCGUGGCGGCGGCGGCACCACCGCGUCCAAGUACAAGUUCGUCACCGGCUCGCCUUCCGAGUGGAGCGACCGCGAGCUGAGUAUACUCAACGAAGGGCUCACCAGAUAUGCUCCUGAACCUAAUAUCAUGAGGUACAUCAAGAUAGCCGCUAUGCUGCCCAACAGAACCAUCAGGGAUGUUGCAUUGCGAUGCUGGUGGGCUGCAGGUAAAGAUAGAAGGAAGAAACCAGAAGGUUUUUUUACCGGGAAAAAGAUGAGAGAUAUGAAGCCAAUGCAGGACAAAAUAUUUGCAUCUGCCGCCCCUAUGGCUAAUUUUCACAUGGCACCUACAAACAACUUGACCCCUUUCUCAAUAUCGAUGCAAAAUCCAAACCAGCAGUGUCAAGUUCCCAAGGAAGCUCCUGUUGUGGACAGUGCAACCCAGCAGCUCCUGGAGGAAAACAAUCAAUUGCUUAACCAGAUUGCUGCAAAUAUUGAAACAUUCAAGACGGGGGAGAGCAUGGAUCUCUUUCUUCGGACAAAUAGCAACAUCAAAACAAUUUUAAGCAGAAUGAGCGAGACACCUGGCAUCAUGGGUCAGAUGCCUCCUCUGCAAGAACUUGCACAUGAGGACAAGCUUAAUUCACUUCUUCAAGUUGAUAGAAUGGUCCAAUCUUAUGGCGCAGCACACAGCUCACAUAUGAAGGAAGAGCCUCGAAGCUAA
rnacentral:rRNA from 1 species